UACAGAGGUCUCAAGCGUUGUUCGGAUUCAUUGGGCGUAAAGGGGUGCGUAGCGGCGCGGUAAGUCGGGUGUGAAAUCUCGGAGCUUAACUCCGAAACUGCAUUCGAUACUGCCGUGCUUGAGGACUGGAGAGGAGACUGGAAUUUACGGUGUAGCGGUGAAAUGCGUAGAUAUCGUAAGGAAGACCAGUGGCGAAGGCGGGUCUCUGGACAGUUCCUGACGCUGAGGCACGAAGGUCAGGGGAGCAAACGGG
rnacentral:rRNA from 1 species